AGCGCGCUUCCUCGUGCCCGCGCUUGCUGCUCAGCAAAGCGAAGAGGCGGAGCAGCAGCAGCAGCAGCAAGAGCCUUGUUUUCCCCUUCCUUCCGUCCGUCCUUCUUUCCUUCCUUCCUUCCGCACCAUCCGCAUCCUUUUCCCCCUGGUCUUCGAGCCUCACCCCCUUUCCUCCUAACCCGCAUCGAUCCCGCUUCAGCUGCGCCAUGGGAAGGCGAAGGCGCCUUUAGCCGGGCUCUGGCUCCUUCCUCCAUCCUUCCUUCCCUAUUGAAGCUCCUUCUUUCCCCCCCAAAAGAGAGGAAGGCAAGGCAAGGCAAGAGAAGGCGAGGAGAGCAACCCCAGAGCAUCAUCCCAGGCCUCCAAGGGUGUUAAUGGAGAAGAGGUCGAAUGACAGCCGGGACUGUGGUCAUCACCGGCGGAAUAUUAGCAACUGUCAUCUUAUUGUGUAUCAUAGCUGUUCUCUGCUAUUGUAGGCUCCAGUACUACUGCUGCAAGAAGGAUGAGUCGGAAGAGGAUGGGGAGGAGCCGGACUUCGAUGCGGACUCCCGCAUCCCACCGCUCCACUGCAACCGCAACGUGGCUCUGACCAACGGCCCCUCCUUGUACCACUCCCCGUCCCCGUUCAAGAAGGCCUCCCAGUGCCGGACGGUCUGCCCCAGCUGCUCCCACUAUGAGCCGCCCACCUUCUUCCUCCAGGAACCCGAAGAGGAGGUCCGCAAUGGGGGCGACCUGGUCAACUACAAGGCCAUCAGCCAGGAAGACUUGGAACUGCCCGUCAGCGCCAACAACCUCCAGUCCCUCAACCCCAACCGCCUCUCGGCCAUGCGCGAGGCCUUCUCCCGUAGCCGCAGCAUCAGCACCGACGUCUGAUGGCGGGGAGAAAACGGGCACCGCCAAGUUGCCAAGAAGGCCGGCAUCCCGCCAUCGCGAUGGAUAUUUAUAUUCCGCUCUUCUCACCCCGAAAGGGACCCAAGGCGGAUAACAGGACACAUACCCGGCAAACAUUCAAUGCCAUUAAACAGACAGGACAGACAACAGAUAGAGGUAUUAUGUCGACAUUUUCCCCAACUUCGGCAUUCUGGAGGUCAUGCUCGAUUCCGGCCACAGGAGGGUGCUGUCGCUCCAUCCUCUGUGAUGAAGAGCCCUUGAUUACAGACUUCCCUCUUUCUUUGAUUGCUGGCAUUUUCUGGUAUUUCUUUUUUUAUGGUGCCGUAAAAUACCUCCCGGUGGCGCAGCAGGUUAAACUGCUGAGCUGCUGAACUUGCUGACUGAAAGGAUGACGGUUUGAAUUCGGGGAGUGGGGUGAGUUCCCACUGUUAGCCCCAGCUUCUGUCAAUCUAGCAGUUCUAAAACAUGCCAGUGUGAGUACUUCCUUACUUACUGAACUUGCUGACGGAAAGGAUGGCGGUUCGAAUCCGGGGAGUGGGGUGAGCUCCCACUGUUAGCUCCAGAUUCUGUCAAGCUAGCAGUUCUAAAACAUGCCAGUGUGAGUACUAACUUACUUACUUACUUACUGAACUCGCUGACCGAAAGGAUGGCAGUUCGAAUCUGGGGAGUGGGAUGAGCUCCCGCUGUUAGCCCCAGUUUCUUCCAACCUAGCAGUUCUAAAACAUGCCAAUGUGAGUAGAUCAAUAGGUACCAUUCCAGGCGCUCCAUACAGUCAUGCUGGCUACAUAACCUUGGAGGCAUCUACAGACAACGCCAGCUCUUUGGUUUAAAAAUGGAGACGAGCACCACCAUCCAGAGUCGGACACAAUGUCAAGGGGAAAACUUUACCUUUAUUAAAAUACCUCCCUGCUGAAGCAGUGCCUAAUUUAUUUACUCACAGCUCACAGCUGUUUUUGAACCACUUAGGUGGAGAGUGAGCUGGGCUAAAGGUCGGGUACUCACCCUGUCCCAGGCUUCGAACUGACAACCUUUCGAUUGGUGUGCUCUAUUGCUGCUGGUGAUUAACCAGCUGUGCUAAAGUUCAGCCCUUUAUAGUAUUUAUACUCCUCCCUUCUCACCCCAAAGGGGACUCAGGGCGGAUCACAAAACGCCAAACAUUCGAUGCCGAUUAUACAAUGACAUGACAGACAAGAGAUCAAGGUAUAUAUAGGCUUUUCCCAUCUUUCAGCAUCUUUGGAGGCUGUGCUUGGAUCAGGCCACUGGAGGGUGCUGUUGCUCCAUCUCCCUACCGAAGAGCUUCCUUUGUUUGUAAACUUCCUCCUAUUUAUGAUCGAAACGCCAAGCCUAAAUAAAUACCUGCCUGCUUUAAUGUGGUUCCUAUUUAUCCAGGGGCGGCCCAACCAUUACGCAAAGUAAGCAUUCGCAGUAUAGUUGAUUUUGCCCAGGGGCGCUGUUGAGGCGCUCUUGGGGGAAAAUAGACCUUGACAUAUGUGAGUUGUAGUUACUGGGAUGUAUAGUUCACCUCCAAUCAAAGAGCAUUCUGAACUCCACCAAUGAUGGAAUUGAACCAAAUAUGGCACACAGAACUCCCAUGACGAACAGAAAAUGUAUAUCAGUGAUUGGUUGGGGGGGGGGCACCAAAAUACUGUUUGCUUACCGUUGAAAAUUACCUAGGGCUGCCCUGUAUUUAUCUACUCACAUUUGUUUCCGACAGAGAGCAUGGAUGAGCUCCCUCUGUCAGCUCCAGCUCCCCAUGCGGGGACAUGAGAGAAGCCUCCCACAAGGAUGGUAAAACAUCAAUCAUCCAGGCAUCUCCUGUGCAACGUCCUUGCAGACGGCCAAUUCUCUCACACCAGAAAUGACUUGUAGUUUCUCAAGUUGCUCCUGACACACACACACACACAAAAUUGUUUGUAAACUGCUAGGUAGGCAGAAGCUGGGCUAAAGGUCAGGAGCUCACCCUGACCCAGGCUUUGAACUUUCAGCCUUCCGGUUGGCAAGAUUUAUUACAGCUUGGUGAUUAACCUGCUGUGCUAAAGCCCGGAGGAUGUACAGACUAAGAUAGGAGAGAGGAAUCGAGAUGAAAUGAUUGUUUAUCUAUUUUUAACGAAAACAGUGGCCAUUGUUUUAAGCACAAUCCAGUUCCAUUGACUCUCCUUUUAUCCGAAGCAGUGCCAGCGUCUCUAUGAGCGGGUUGUGUUUCCGUCUGGUUUGUGACGUGUUGCAAUAUCCUCGCUGGACUGAAAAAAAAAACAAACCCUAUGGAAAGUGUUCCCAUCGCUUUCUUCUGUCGUCUCUUUUCAGUGAUCUGACGUAACCGCCGCAGCCGCUUCCAUAGAACUCUUUUGAGUCGAUUUUGUAAUAAUAAUAAUAAUAAUAAUAAUAAUAAUAAUAAUAAUAAUAAUAUGUUUUAACAGCAUUUUUGAAGAUGCUGAGAUUUGUUGCGUUUCGAUCGUGGCAAUGUUUUUAAAUCUUCCGGGUUUUUCCUCCUUGCGCUGGUCUCUUCUUCGGAUUUCGUUUCCUUUUUGGUGCAUCUUUGAAAUCGAUUGAAUUGUUUCCAUGAGUUUUCUGUUCACUUUUGGCAGUGUGGCAAACUUGUACAAAACUUCCAAGACCCUCUGAAAACGGAAAAAAAACUUAAAAAAAUAAUAAACUUAAUCUUGACUUUGUUA